AUUGCACGCUGGCGGCAUGCCUAACACAUGCAAGUCGAACGAGUGGCGGACGUGUGAGUCAUGUCUGGGAAACUGCCUGAUGGAGGGGGAUCACUACUGGAAACGGUAUCUAAUACCGCAUACCAUCAGAUGUGCCCCGGUGGUAUUAGGUUGUUGGGGGGGUAACGGCUCACCAAGGCGACGAUCCCUAGCGGGUCUGUGAGGAUGACCGGCCACACUGGAAAUGAGACACGGCCCAGACUCCUAAGGGAGGCAGCAGUGGCGAAUAUUGCACAAUUGGCGCAAGCCUGAUGGAGACAUGCCGCGUGUAUGAAGAAGGCCUUCGGGUUGUAAAGUACUUGCAGCGGGGAGGCGUUACCCGCAGAAGAAGCACCGGCUAACUCCGUGCCAGCAGCCGCGGUAAUAC
rnacentral:rRNA from 1 species